UACGAAGGGGGCUAGCGUUGUUCGGAUUUACUGGGCGUAAAGCGCACGUAGGCGGGUCGAUCAGUCAGGGGUGAAAUCCCAGAGCUCAACUCUGGAACUGCCUUUGAUACUGUCGAUCUGGAGUAUGGAAGAGGUGAGUGGAAUUCCGAGUGUAGAGGUGAAAUUCGUAGAUAUUCGGAGGAACACCAGUGGCGAAGGCGGCUUACUGGUCCAUUACUGACGCUGAGGUGCGAAAGCGUGGGGAGCAAACAGG
rnacentral:rRNA from 1 species